AUACAUUAUUGUGUAUAUGACCUUUGUUUUUUCCUGUUUCAAAUUUAUAUUCCGCAAAGAUUCAAGAUUUUUUUGUUUCUUAAAUACUAAUAAUCAAGAUUAAGAAAUGAAAAGACAAAAAUUUUAAAAUUCAAUAAAACAGAUCUAUGGAAACUGUGAAUGGCAAAAUUUCAAACUUUGGUUGUCCAUUUCGACCAGCUGAAGCCGGCUCGGCAGUACGAGUAAGUUCUCUUUUGAAAAUGAAAAAAAAACCACUAAAAGAUUAAGAUCUUUUAAGUUAAGGUAGAUUCAUGGUAUACCGCCAUCUUGGAUUGUACAAUCACAGUACAAAAUCGCUAGUUAUUUGCCAAUCAGCAAUUUGGAAACAGAUUUGCAAUUUAAUGUUAGACUGUUUAUUUUAUAUAAAGAAAACUUGCUAAUUUAUUGUAUUAUUAAAAAAUUUUAAACAAAUAUCACCUUUUUGUUUUCAAAAAUCAUCUUUUAAAUGAGCAUUUAAGGGAGUCACUCUUUUAGCACAAAAUUUAUCUGGGCUAAUAGGGAAAUUUUUUUUUUUACUUGUGGCAAGAAACAAGUUCGGUGACACCCAGUUUUCUUUUUUUUUUCUUAAAACAUAUUAUAAAACCUAUCUUCUCACAAUUUUUUUCAAAUUCUAUCUCAUGAAAAACGAAAAAAAACACUAAAAGAUUUAGAUCUUUAUAAGUAAGUAUAUAUUAAUUUUUGGAAUUUAAUUUCUUUUCAUAUUGUUCAUCAAAAAUAUUUCACCGAAUAAGGUCCAAAAAUGAAGGUAAAGAUAGAAUUUUAGUGUCAGUUUAAAAUUUUAGAUGUUCAGGACGUAUUAAUGUUGAAAAUAUGCCACACACCGCUAUAUUUUGACCUUUGAUAAAAUAGUACUACUAGAACUAGUCAAAGCUGCAAAGUCAGCUUGUGCCUUAUACAAACUGUCACUUUCUUAAAUUGUGGUUGAACUAAUGUUUAACAAUGAUUAGUGCUCUUGCUCUUGUAAAAACUGUGCUUUAUAUGUUUAUUUAAAAUCAUGUUCUCUUGUGACAUUUAAACAAGUGUGCUUUAACUGUUGUGUAAAAUAACUUAUUGAUUUAGUGCUUUAGUAUAAACAUUAUAAGAAACAUUCAACAUAGGGACUAUUGUUUGAAAUUUUAUAUUGUUCUGUUAUUGUAACUUG
rnacentral:lncRNA from 1 species